rnacentral:tRNA from 1 species
AGACGUAUAGUUCAGUAGGUAGAAUUUUGGAUUUCAAAUCCAACAGUUGCGGGUUCGAGUCCUGCUGCGUCUG